UCGCACCUGCAAGGGGCGCAGCAGAAAUCGUUUGAUAACUGUGCAGGUAGUUGAUUUCUGUAUCGUCUCGUAAACGAAUUAUAAUUCGUUUUAAAGUUUUCUU
rnacentral:ncRNA from 25 species